GGGGCUUGUCCGGGUAGCUCGAUGCUAACAAAAAAACAUAAAAAAACGACCGGAUGUCGGAAUCCCCCGCACGGCCGUGAAUCCCUUUUGUGAGCUCCGAGACCACAAAGAAACGGCCCCAGAAGCGGAAGGGAACACCGAAUGUUCGCCCGGGUUCGGUUCUAGCCGUGUCGGCCGUCCACUCAAGCGGAGCGACGCGCUGCUUCGUGGGCCGGCGGCGAGCAGCGGGAGCCGGAGCGAUCGGGCCUGUCAACACCGGAGCCUCGUGCGGGUCUGGGGGAGGAGCCGCGGGGCGGCCCCGCCCGUUUAAAGGGCCCCUGGAAUGUGCAGCCGUUUAAAGUCACACAACUGGCUGAAAGGCAAGAAUUAUUAGUACAUCCUGCAUUGACGUCAACGUGGUACAUGUUCUUAAUGAGCUGCUUUGCGUGUCACACACACGCACACACACACACACGUAUAUACACUAGUUUAACACCCAGGUCCCAGGGGGGUCAAACACCAAAUCCAGGGGGGGCAGUUAAACCACUUAAGGACAUUUAUGACACAUUAUACCAUCUUCUCACUAGUCACCGGGAGGCUGAGUAGGUGAGAUUAUGCAAGACUACUCAAUAUACUUUGUCUGGAGGACUUAAGGACGCUCCAUAUAGUAAUCAUCAUAAUGUAGCAUCAUUUAGCGUUGUUCUUUUCAGCCUUUCCAGUGCCUUUACUUUAGAUUCAGUACAUUCAGCUGGUGAUACUACCUUUGCUAAGUAAUGUUGUAUUUUCACACUCGGGUGUUGCUAUUUGUACAUAAGCCAAGUGUCACUUCUUCAUUCAUUUAGAGUUGUGUUUGUGGUCCCCUGACGGAUGCAAAGCCAACGGUCCCCAUCCUUUUAGCUCUGGCUUGGAUCUCCACCAACUAGCUGGAUAAGUUGCAGCCUUUUCACUGGGGAACGUUGGUGAUUUCAAAGCGUUGGUGCAUGAAAACCGGCUCUGGUCCCGUGCUACCGAGCACCACCUGCUGCGGCUGCAGGAUGGAGUCAUCAGCGGCUACGUCUCGUCGCCCACAGCUCCAUACCGGGGAAACGAUUCAGGCCCCCCCACCCCGUUUAAAAUCCGUACCAUUGUCUCAUGUCAGCCCGCAGACAGCGCGGUAAUGACUGAGCCCAUUCACGCCGCGUGGGGCGAACAGCAGGGGGGGAUGGAGGGAAGACACACACACACACACACACACACUCUCCUGUGAUGCAUUUAAAGGCUCUGGUCUUUGCGUAGCGCUGAGGCGUCUCAGUUAUCUGAUGAAACACACAAACAAACUACUGCAUUAUUGCCACGAGCAUCAUCACCACACGGUUCUCAAACUCGUCACCACGUGAUGAAACGCGGUGAACGUCAGAGCGAAUUCCGCGCUUGUUUUGCUGCAAACAGGAAACGGCUCCAUCGGGUUCACGGCGCCUCAUUAAAAGCAACGACACAGGAUGAAUUGAGUCUCUUCUUGUUGCUGUUACUUUGCCACGGCGGAGUCACAACGCUUAAUGUGUGUCAAUUAAAAGGUAAGAGAAGGAAACCAAUCAGCGUGUACACGCUGAGCCGGCGCCACAGACGGAGACAUGUGGGACGAAGCCUGAGCGUUAAAGAAGAAGAGACACCCCAUCACGUCAAUUCAUGUUUGACGUUGGUGAAAAAUAAAUUGGUUUGAUGCUAAAACGAUGUAAAACAUUACGGCUGCUUAGUAUCAGCAUGCUAGCUGUUAUCGUUAGCAUUUAGCAUGCUAGCAUUUGGCCUCACAGAGCUGCUGUCAUGGCCGCUCACUCUAAGAGCCAAAGGAAACCUUUAAACUAACCAAGGAGCACAGUGUGUGUUGACAACAUCGUGUCCAAAUGUCUACUUUGAUAGCGACGUCCCAGAUGGUGAUCAGUGUCCCUGCACAGCGUCCACGUGUUGCCGUUAAAGAAUAUUACUGCAUUUAAUGCUACAAACAUUAACGCGGUGACGAGUUGGUAGCAGGUUCUUAGAUCCUCGUGAACCUUCUUUCCAUCGAGGCAACGCUGCUUUUGUUUGAGACUUUAUGUUAAAACAUACAAACCAGCUAUUCUCUUUCAAAUGUGCUGAUUUUCAUGCCUUUCCAGUAAUGUUGUUUCACUUUCAUUCUGACGUGUCAGAGUCAAAUAUUUUUACAGAUAAUUUUAGACACGUCAGCUGACGUGUUACGGAGGCAAAAUAACCCAAAGUCUCUCCCCUGAUCGGAAAUAACACCGUAAUACCACGGCCCGGUAACGCGACCCGUGUUUAAUGUAAGUCCAUUUAAGCCAUGCAGCAUUUCUUG